UACAGAGGGUGCGAGCGUUAAUCGGAAUUACUGGGCGUAAAGCGUGCGUAGACGGUUUUGUAAGUCGGGUGUGAAAUCCCCGGGCUCAACCUGGGAAUUGCAUUCGAGACUGCAAGGCUGGGGUGCGGAAGAGGGAAGCGGAAUUUCCGGUGUAGCGGUGAAAUGCGUAGAUAUCGGAAGGAACAUCAGUGGCGAAAGCGGCUUCCUGGUCCAGCACCCGACGUUCAGGCACGAAAGCGUGGGGAGCAAACAGGG
rnacentral:rRNA from 1 species